UUAAGCGACUAAGCGUACACGGUGGAUGCCCUGGCAGUCAGAGGCGAUGAAGGGCGUGCUAAUCUGCGAUAAGCGCCGGUAAGGUGAUAUGAACCGUUAUAACCGGCGAUACCCGAAUGGGGAAACCCAGUGUGACUCGUCACACUAUCAUUAACUGAAUCCAUAGGUUAAUGAGGCGAACCGGGGGAACUGAAACAUCUAAGUACCCCGAGGAAAAGAAAUCAACCGAGAUUCCCCCAGUAGCGGCGAGCGAACGGGGAGGAGCCCAGAGCCUGAAUCAGCAUGUGUGUUAGUGGAAGCGUCUGGAAAGGCGCGCGAUACAGGGUGACAGCCCCGUACACAAAAGCGCAUGUGCUGUGAGCUCGAUGAGUAGGGCGGGACACGUGGUAUCCUGUCUGAAUAUGGGGGGACCAUCCUCCAAGGCUAAAUACUCCUGACUGACCGAUAGUGAACCAGUACCGUGAGGGAAAGGCGAAAAGAACCCCGGCGAGGGGAGUGAAAAAGAACCUGAAACCGUGUACGUACAAGCAGUGGGAGCACAGGUUUACCUGUGUGACUGCGUACCUUUUGUAUAAUGGGUCAGCGACUUAUAUUCUGUAGCAAGGUUAACCGAAUAGGGGAGCCGGAGGGAAACCGAGUCUUAAUUGGGCGUUAAGUUGCAGGGUAUAGACCCGAAACCCGGUGAUCUAGCCAUGGGCAGGUUGAAGGUUGGGUAACACUAACUGGAGGACCGAACCGACUAAUGUUGAAAAAUUAGCGGAUGACCUGUGGCUGGGGGUGAAAGGCCAAUCAAACCGGGAGAUAGCUGGUUCUCCCCGAAAGCUAUUUAGGUAGCGCCUCGUGAAUUCAUCUCCGGGGGUAGAGCACUGUUUCGGCUAGGGGGCCAUCCCGGCUUACCAACCCGAUGCAAACUGCGAAUACCGGAGAAUGUUAUCACGGGAGACACACGGCGGGUGCUAACGUCCGUCGUGAAGAGGGAAACAACCCAGACCGCCAGCUAAGGUCCCAAAGUCAUGGUUAAGUGGGAAACGAUGUGGGAAGGCCCAGACAGCCAGGAUGUUGGCUUAGAAGCAGCCAUCAUUUAAAGAAAGCGUAAUAGCUCACUGGUCGAGUCGGCCUGCGCGGAAGAUGUAACGGGGCUAAACCAUGCACCGAAGCUGCGGCAGCGANNGUUGGGUAGGGGAGCGUUCUGUAAGCCUGUGAAGGUGUGUCGUGAGGCAUGCUGGAGGUAUCAGAAGUGCGAAUGCUGACAUAAGUAACGAUAAAGCGGGUGAAAAGCCCGCUCGCCGGAAGACCAAGGGUUCCUGUCCAACGUUAAUCGGGGCAGGGUGAGUCGACCCCUAAGGCGAGGCCGAAAGGCGUAGUCGAUGGGAAACGGGUUAAUAUUCCCGUACUUGGUGUUACUGCGAAGGGGGGACGGAGAAGGCUAUGUUGGCCGGGCGACGGUUGUCCCGGUUUAAGCGUGUAGGUGUGUGUUCCAGGUAAAUCCGGUUCACUUUAACACUGAGGCGUGAUGACGAGGCACUACGGUGCUGAAGCAACAAAUGCCCUGCUUCCAGGAAAAGCCUCUAAGCAUCAGGUAACAUCAAAUCGUACCCCAAACCGACACAGGUGGUCAGGUAGAGAAUACCAAGGCGCUUGAGAGAACUCGGGUGAAGGAACUAGGCAAAAUGGUGCCGUAACUUCGGGAGAAGGCACGCUGACACGUAGGUGAAGUGAUUUACUCAUGGAGCUGAAGUCAGUCGAAGAUACCAGCUGGCUGCAACUGUUUAUUAAAAACACAGCACUGUGCAAACACGAAAGUGGACGUAUACGGUGUGACGCCUGCCCGGUGCCGGAAGGUUAAUUGAUGGGGUCAGCGCAAGCGAAGCUCCUGAUCGAAGCCCCGGUAAACGGCGGCCGUAACUAUAACGGUCCUAAGGUAGCGAAAUUCCUUGUCGGGUAAGUUCCGACCUGCACGAAUGGCGUAAUGAUGGCCAGGCUGUCUCCACCCGAGACUCAGUGAAAUUGAACUCGCUGUGAAGAUGCAGUGUACCCGCGGCAAGACGGAAAGACCCCGUGAACCUUUACUAUAGCUUGACACUGAACAUUGAGCCUUGAUGUGUAGGAUAGGUGGGAGGCUUUGAAGCGUGGACGCCAGUCUGCGUGGAGCCGACCUUGAAAUACCACCCUUUAAUGUUUGAUGUUCUAACGUGGACCCGUAAUCCGGGUUGCGGACAGUGUCUGGUGGGUAGUUUGACUGGGGCGGUCUCCUCCUAAAGAGUAACGGAGGAGCACGAAGGUUGGCUAAUCCUGGUCGGACAUCAGGAGGUUAGUGCAAUGGCAUAAGCCAGCUUGACUGCGAGCGUGACGGCGCGAGCAGGUGCGAAAGCAGGUCAUAGUGAUCCGGUGGUUCUGAAUGGAAGGGCCAUCGCUCAACGGAUAAAAGGUACUCCGGGGAUAACAGGCUGAUACCGCCCAAGAGUUCAUAUCGACGGCGGUGUUUGGCACCUCGAUGUCGGCUCAUCACAUCCUGGGGCUGAAGUAGGUCCCAAGGGUAUGGCUGUUCGCCAUUUAAAGUGGUACGCGAGCUGGGUUUAGAACGUCGUGAGACAGUUCGGUCCCUAUCUGCCGUGGGCGCUGGAGAACUGAGGGGGGCUGCUCCUAGUACGAGAGGACCGGAGUGGACGCAUCACUGGUGUUCGGGUUGUCAUGCCAAUGGCACUGCCCGGUAGCUAAAUGCGGAAGAGAUAAGUGCUGAAAGCAUCUAAGCACGAAACUUGCCCCGAGAUGAGUUCUCCCUGAGACUUAGAGUCUCCUGAAGGAACGUUGAAGACGACGACGUUGAUAGGCCGGGUGUGUAAGCGCAGCGAUGCGUUGAGCUAACCGGUACUAAUGAC
rnacentral:rRNA from 1 species